rnacentral:rRNA from 1 species
GAUGAACGCUGGCGGCGUGCCUAAUACAUGCAAGUCGAGCGAACAGACGAGGAGCUUGCUCCUCUGACGUUAGCGGCGGACGGGUGAGUAACACGUGGAUAACCUACCUAUAAGACUGGGAUAACUUCGGGAAACCGGAGCUAAUACCGGAUAAUAUAUUGAACCGCAUGGUUCAAUAGUGAAAGACGGUUUUGCUGUCACUUAUAGAUGGAUCCGCGCCGCAUUAGCUAGUUGGUAAGGUAACGGCUUACCAAGGCAACGAUGCGUAGCCGACCUGAGAGGGUGAGCGGCCACACUGGAACUGAGACACGGUCCAGACUCCUACGGGAGGCCGCAGUAGGGAAUCUUCCGCAAUGGGCGAAAGCUUGACGGAGCAACGCCGCGUGAGUGAUGAAGGUCUUCGGAUCGUAAAACUCUGUUAUUAGGGAAGAACAAAUGUGUAAGUAACUAUGCACGUCUUGACGGUACCUAAUCAGAAAGCCACGGCUAACUACGUG